rnacentral:tRNA from 1 species
GCGGAGUGGCCGAGUUUUAGGCGGUGGGCUGUAAACCUUCUAACAAGUUUAAUACUUCUCCGUAA